UACGAAGGGGGCUAGCGUUGCUCGGAAUCACUGGGCGUAAAGCGCACGUAGGCGGUUUCUUAAGUCGGGGGUGAAAUCCUGGAGCUCAACUCCAGAACUGCCUUCGAUACUGGGAAACUUGAGUCCGGGAGAGGUGAGUGGAACUGCGAGUGUAGAGGUGAAAUUCGUAGAUAUUCGCAAGAACACCAGUGGCGAAGGCGGCUCACUGGCCCGGUACUGACGCUGAGGUGCGAAAGCGUGGGGAGCAAACAGG
rnacentral:rRNA from 1 species